rnacentral:rRNA from 1 species
GACGAACGCUGGCGGCGUGCUUAACACAUGCAAGUCGAACGAAGCUUGAUUACGGAUUCUUCGGAUGAAGUAUGAUAUGACUGAGUGGCGGACGGGUGAGUAACGCGUGAGUAACCUGCCCUUCAGAGGGGGAUAGCGUUUGGAAACGAACGGUAAUACCGCAUAAUGUAUUUUGACCGCAUGAUCGAAAUACCAAAGAUUUAUCGCUGAAGGAUGGACUCGCGUCUGAUUAGGUAGUUGGUGGGGUAACGGCCUACCAAGCCGACGAUCAGUGGCCGGACUGAGAGGUUGAUCGGCCACAUUGGGACUGAGACACGGCCCAGACUCCUACGGGAGGCAGCAGUGGGGAAUAUUGCACAAUGGGCGCAAGCCUGAUGCAGCAACGCCGCGUGAAGGAAGACGGUUUUCGGAUUGUAAACUUCUGUUCUUAGUGAAGAAUAAUGACGGUAGCUAAGGAGCAAGCCACGGCUAACUACGUGCCAGCAGCCGCGGUAAUACGUAGGUGGCAAGCGUUGCCCGGAAUUACUGGGUGUAAAGGGAGCGCAGCGGGUGAUCAAGUCAGCUGUGAAAACUACGGGCUUAACCCGUAGACUGCAGUUGAAACUGUUCAUCUUGAGUGAAGUAGAGGUUGGCGGAAUUCCGAGUGUAGCGGUGAAAUGCGUAGAUAUUCGGAGGAACACCGGUGGCGAAGGCGGCCAACUGGGCUUUAACUGACGCUGAGGCUCGAAAGUGUGGGGAGCAAACAGGAUUAGAUACCCUGGUAGUCCACACUGUAAACGAUGAUUGCUAGGUGUGGGGGGUCUGACCCCUUCCGUGCCGGAGCUAACGCAAUAAGCAAUCCACCUGGGGAGUACGACCGCAAGGUUGAAACUCAAAGGAAUUGACGGGGACCCGCACAAGCAGUGGAUUAUGUGGUUUAAUUCGAAGCAACGCGAAGAACCUUACCAGCACUUGACAUCCAACUAACGAAAUAGAGAUAUAUUAGGUGCCCUUCGGGGAAAGUUGAGACAGGUGGUGCAUGGUUGUCGUCAGCUCGUGUCGUGAGAUGUUGGGUUAAGUCCCGCAACGAGCGCAACCCUCGCCAUUAGUUGCUACGCAAGAGCACUCUAAUGGGACCGCUACCGACAAGGUGGAGGAAGGUGGGGACGACGUCAAAUCAUCAUGCCCCUUAUGUGCUGGGCUACACACGUAAUACAAUGGCCAUCAACAGAGAGAAGCAAUACCGCGAGGUGGAGCAAAACUUCAAAAAUGGUCUCAGUUCGGACUGCAGGCUGCAACCCGCCUGCACGAAGUUGGAAUUGCUAGUAAUCGUGGAUCAGCAUGCCACGGUGAAUACGUUCCCGGGUCU